rnacentral:rRNA from 1 species
GACGAACGCUGGCGGCGUGCUUAACACAUGCAAGUCGAACGAUGAAGCCCAGCUUGCUGGGUGGAAGAGUGGCGAACGGGUGAGUAACACGUGAGUAACCUGCCCUGAACUCUGGGAUAAGCACUGGAAACGGUGUCUAAUACUGGAUACGACCUAUCACCGCAUGGUGUGUGGGUGGAAAGAUUUAUCGGUUCUGGAUGGACUCGCGGCCUAUCAGCUAGAUGGUGAGGUAAUGGCCCACCAUGGCGACGACGGGUAGCCGGCCUGAGAGGGUGACCGGCCACACUGGGACUGAGACACGGCCCAGACUCCUACGGGAGGCAGCAGUGGGGAAUAUUGCACAAUGGGCGCAAGCCUGAUGCAGCAACGCCGCGUGAGGGAUGACGGCCUUCGGGUUGUAAACCUCUUUUAGUAGGGAAGAAGCGAAAGUGACGGUACCUGCAGAAAAAGCACCGGCUAACUACGUG